rnacentral:rRNA from 1 species
GACGAACGCUGGCGGCGUGCUUAACACAUGCAAGUCGAGCGGUAAGGCCCUUUCGGGGGUACACGAGCGGCGAACGGGUGAGUAACACGUGGGUGACCUGCCCUCAGCUCUGGGAUAAGCCUGGGAAACCGGGUCUAAUACCGGAUAUGACUCCAUGACGCAUGUUGUGGGGUGGAAAGCCUUGUGCGGCUGAGGAUGGGCCCGCGGCCUAUCAGCUUGUUGGUGGGGUGAUGGCCUACCAAGGCGACGACGGGUAGCCGGCCUGAGAGGGCGACCGGCCACACUGGGACUGAGACACGGCCCAGACUCCUACGGGAGGCAGCAGUGGGGAAUCUUGCGCAAUGGGCGAAAGCCUGACGCAGCGACGCCGCGUGAGGGAUGACGGCCUCGGUUGUAACCGUACUU